rnacentral:rRNA from 1 species
UACGGAGGGUGCAAGCGUUAUCCGGAUUCACUGGGUUUAAAGGGUGCGUAGGCGGGCAGGUAAGUCAGUGGUGAAAUCCCCGAGCUUAACUUGGGAACUGCCGUUGAUACUAUCUGUCUUGAAUACUGUGGAGGUAAGCGGAAUAUGUCAUGUAGCGGUGAAAUGCUUAGAUAUGACAUAGAACACCAAUUGCGAAGGCAGCUUGCUACACAGUUAUUGACGCUGAGGCACGAAAGCGUGGGGAUCAAACAGG